GGAAAGAAAGGGCAAGACUGGGGGGACAAGGAGCCCACAGAAGACGGAAUCAGGCAGCAGGAUCCCCUCCCCUCAUAGGCCUGAGGGUCAGGUGGGCUUGGCCACAAGCACCAAGCCUGGUUCUAACCAGGGCACGGUAACCCAAGGCAGAGGUGCCCAGAGCCUGGCUGAGACUGAGCCCAGCGGGAGGUCCCAGAGCUUGGGCUCCGGGCACAGGCAGCUAUGGGGUGUGCAGUCAGGCAGAUUGGGGCAGAGAGGCACAAAGGAAGUGUCCAGUCCAAGAAAGAUAGUUUAUUGCUGUCUGGAGACCUCAGGGCCUCAGAUCAAAAAGCCUACAGGCUCCCUGGAAGCCAGCAGGUAGUCACUGGCACCUUCUAAAGGAUGAGCAGGGCAGAGCCUGGCACGUGGCUCCUCGGUGCAGAGAGGCCAGGCUGCACGCACAGACCUCUGAAAGGGGCCCCACCUCUGCGGGGGGAGGCCUAGGCUUGAUUGGGGUUGGUGACCUUGCCCCAGAAGAGGAUGUUCUCCGUAUCUUUGUGGUGUAUGCAGAACAGAAAGGGUCUGUUGAAACGAACAGUGACCAGUGGGCCGAUCUUUCCAGAUAAAAAAAACAACUUUACUUCCCGUGGCGGCAGCGGCUUCUGUGCCCAACUCGGUCACAUCGAGCAGGGUCUUGUGAACUAUCUGCGGGAAGAUCCGGUGGGCGAGGGGUGAGCAGCCUGCCUGGGAGCCCCAAAGAGACUGACAUUCAUGCAGCCUCCACCCCAGGCUGUCACCGAUCGCUUCGUUCGUCCUGGCAACCCUGUCAGGGGUCCUGCGUGGUUCCCACACACAGAGGCUUGGAUACAGAGGAUGAAUUAUCCAAAGUUGAACCGCUCACCUGGGAAACUGCCAGGUUCUUGUGCCCUGUGACUCUCGACAGGUCGGCCUGGUUGGUGAAGACUUCUCUCACGCCCAGCUGGGGAAGGACAUCUUCCAGAUUAUAGCUGCUGGAGAUGGAAAACUUUGGCAGGUAGAGGUUGUCUAUCCUCCUAGGAAAUGAGAAACAUGACUUUGAACACCUGCUCGACUCACUGCUCACUUUCUCCCACCUCACAGCAUGGUCUUCCUUGGUUUCCUCUCUAACCAUCCCCUUCUUGCUGGAAGGACAGAGCCCAGAACUGCCUCCCAGUGGCUCCACCCUCAAGGACCGGGCCAGAACUCACGGUGCCUUGCUUGUUCCCCUGACAUCAGUCUUCUGGAUGCCAUGUCCUAGCCUAUCUCUACCCUCAGGUUCAUCUGAAACUUGACGACUCCUCACACUUCUUGCCUGGAUCGCUGCACAGGGCUCCUAGCUGGCUUCCUGCCUCCAUGCCUGUCCUCUGUGCUCUAUUCCACUCAGCCUCCUGGGUGUAUUUAAAACAAUACUCCGAUCAUUCACCCUUUGGCCCAAGACCUAGUGAGGACUCCACACUUCACUUAGAAGAGGAAGAGUCAAGGUUUCUCCAAGGGUCUGCAUGGCCCUCCUCAAUCUGCGCCAUCCCGUGGAGCCCCCUGACCUCUGACUCUCACCCUGCUCUAGCCUCUCUUGUCUCACUAACCCUCCAGGCUUUGCAUAGAGGCUUUGCACUGGCUGUUCCCUCUGCCAAGAAUGCUUUUCCCCCACAUACGCACAGGCCUCAGCCCCUCACCUCUAACAUAUUGAUGCUCAGAUGUCACCUAAUGGCAAUCCUAUUUAAAAUCACCAACUAGGGGAUCCCUGGGUGGCUCAGCGGUUUGGCGCCUGCCUUUGGCCCAGGGCACGAUCCUAGAGUCCCGGGAUCGAGUCCCGCGUCGGGCUCCCGGCAUGGAGCCUGCUUCUCCCUCCUCCUGUGUCUCUGCCUCUCUCUCUCUUUCUAUGUCUAUCAUAAAUAAAUAAAUAAAUCUUAAAAAAAAUAAAAUAAAAUCACCAACUACCUCCUUGUCGGUCCAGUUUUCCUAAUCACUUUACCAUGCUCUAUCAUCCACUGCCUCAUCCGCAUUUCCUAACGUCCGACAUACUAAAUCAUUUCCCUGUUUGUCAUAUUUAUUUACUUUCUCAUUUCCUGAGUACAAAGUAAGCUCCACGAGGGCAGGAGAUUUGUGUUUUACUUGCUGACCUACCCUUGGGGUCUAAAUCAGUGCCUGGCACCUACUAGGCUCCCCAUUAACCUACGUGACCUUGUGCCAAAAUGGGUGAAAGGAUAAAUGAAUGAAUGUAAGAGCCGGCGCAGAGCUGCUCAGAGCCUGUCUUGCUUUGGCCCUCACCUGAUGGCAGGCCCAUCUGUCCCCUCUGCCUCCGAGAGGUUGAGACAAGCAUGCCGGCUGUUGAGGAUUCCCUGGGACCUGAGCAUGUUGCAGUCAGAGGCAGCCUCUGCCCCUGUCCCGGUCCCAGGUCCUUGUGUCUCAUAGAGGAGAUACCUUCAGGCCCAAAGCCCCCCGGGGCAGCAAAGGGCAGGGUAAACCCAAGCUCCACCUGUGCCAGGGUGGCUUCCCCCAGCACUGCAGCCCCAGCCUCGGCCAUCAGGG